rnacentral:rRNA from 1 species
CCGCCCGAGGAUGGGGCUGCGUCCCAUCAGGUAGUUGGCGGGGUAAUGGCCCGCCAAGCCUAUAACGGGUAGGGGCCGUGAGAGCGGGAGCCCCCAGAUGGGCACUGAGACAAGGGCCCAGGCCCUACGGGGCGCACCAGGCGGGAAACCUCCGCAAUGCGGUAACCCGUGACGGGGUCACCCCGAGUGCUCCCCUUAUGGGGAGCUUUUCCCUGCUGCAGGAAGGCAGGGGUAAUAAGUGGGGGGCAAGACUGGUGUCAGCCGCCGCGGUAAUACCAGCCCCACGAGUGGUCGGGACGGUUAUUGGGCCUAAAGCGCCCGCAUCCGGCCCUGCAAGUUCCUGCCUAAAUCUCUGUUCUCAACCCAGUGGCUGGCAGCAAUACUGAUUUCUCUAG